AUGACACUGUCAAAGCCCUCACUGUGGCUUACCUUCGGCCCGGGAACCAAGCUGGAGGUCAAACGGAGUGAUGCUCAGCCAUCCGUCUUUCUCUUCCCACCAUCUCUGGACCAGUUGCACAAAGGAACUGCCUCUAUCGUGUGCAUGCUGAAUGACUUCUACCCCAAAGAGGCCAAUGUCCAGUGGAAAGUGGAUGGUGUUCUCCAAAACCAAGGCAUCCAGCAGAGCAUCACAGAGCAGAACAGCAAGGACAACACCUACAGCCUCAGCAGCACCCUGACGAUACCCAGUACAGAGUACCAGAGUCAUGAAAAGUACUCCUGCGAGGUCACGCACAAGAGCCUGUCCUCCGCCCUCGUCAAGAGCUUCAACAGGAGCGAGUGUCAGAAAGAGUAGCCUCGCAGGCCUCAUCGCCUGUGCCUCGGCCCCAACCUCCCUGCCUCCCUCCUCAGGCCUCCGGACCUUUUCUCAUCGGAGACCCACGUCUAUUGCAGGCCCUUUUCCCCACCUUACUGCCUCCCCCUCUUUGGCUUUAAUCAUGCUAAUAAUAUUUGGGGGAAAAUGAAUAAAUAAAGUGAAUCUUUGCACCGAU